GUGUUACUUAUCGAAAUUCCAUUCAACAAUCAAUGGAACGGAACCAGCAACUUCACCUUGUAGUUACGUUCGAGCAGAAGACAUAAUAUCAUCAGCAGGAGCAGGUGCAGAAGUAAGAGUUGUUGACUACCCUACGGCGCUAACAGGAGUAGUUGACAGAUAUUUAUCAUCAACAAAGAAGGAUUCCACUCGCCCAGCAACGUCCUGUUUUUGUCUUUCUCGCCUACCAUGUGCUCUUUCUCCAAAGUAAUCAUUUCUGAAUUGAGUUUUUCUAAGGAAUAUAAGAAUGGAGGGUGAAGUUACCCUUAAAAUCACUGGGGGUAGGUACUGUUAAAGCCAACAUGGUUGAAAUAGACUCUAGAAGGCGUAUGUUAUGCAUUCGCGAAGCUUGGGAAAAGGAGGAAGAUGGAGUAAGAGAAUAACCUAUGUGUUCAGCAAGAAAACCAAAGAAAGGGGUUGGACCACACCAACUUAUAAGAAGUGGUCUUAUACUCUGAAUCACUAAUACUAUCCAUUCGCAGAUGAAGUGAAGCAACAAGAGAAGUUCCAGAGUGCUUUUCCUGAAUUCGAGUCACUUUAUGAAACCUCUUAUACCUCUUAUACCUCUUAUACCUAGUAUACCUCUUAUACCUAGUAUACUAUAUCUCUGCAAUCAUUUCAUUAUAUCUCUGCAAUCAUUUCAUUCAAGUUAGACAGCUUUCAAAGGCUAGAAGGGAGAAUAGUGCCCUUUGAAAGGAAGAGAAUGCCGAUACUUUUGAACAAUCUCCCAUCGGAAAAUAUGAUAAUAUCUUAUUAGCUUAUUAUCAGAGGACCUGACAAUUGCCCUCUGGAGCUAUCACGGCUACCUAAUAACCCACCCUACUAGUUCUUCUGGAUGAGUUCAAUCGCAAUGUAGCAUGGCUUUGCUUGCCGCGCUUCAACAGAUUGAACUUAGCAGUUUCUUUCACAAGUAGUUCUCAGUCUCGCCUGUGAUGCGUUUGCUUUGCUUACAUGGUUUUUCCCUGGACUGAUUGGAAAAAACAAGUUGGAUUGGUCCCUGCCGCUUUCUCUGGGCGGGCUGAGUCUAGUUGCUUCCGCCUGUUCGAUGGAAGUUUUCGUUCUGACUUCGCCGAGUCCAUCUCCAUUGAAAUCUCUCGCCCUCGUGAUAUCUCUAGGAGGAAAAGAAUCGGCCUACUAUGCUCUCCCCCAUCUAAGCUUUUGAGGGCAACGGGUGGGGAGGCUAGAGGCUCGCUGAAGGUACUUCUGUCUCUCUUGGCCGGCCUAUGAUUGUCCAGUCAGCCUUCUUUCUUUCCUUAAGAGUGAAUGGCCCUCUUGACUACUCCAUCUCUGUUUUGGAAUUUCAUGGGAUGUGUUGAAUAAGUGAAAAAAGGGACUACUUUACCAUCGCAUCGGGAGAGUACCAGGAAAGGGUUCAGGAGGAACCUUAUCUCAUCACAUCGGGAGAGUACCAGGAAAGGGUUCAGGAGGAACCUUAUCUCAUUGAUUCUUUCUCCUCCAAUUCCCCCCGGGAAAGCAAGCCCUAUGAAACCUCUAUUCCAUCAAGCAAACCCCGAACAGCAGGUAUGAGCCCUUAGAUUCUCGGAGUUCUAACCUCGAUUAUAUUCGAAAAUCACUGCCCUUGGCCAAAGACAGACAUCUAGAUCAUAGGAAGAAUCGCCCCAACGCAAAAGACAGAGGAAAAGCAAUAUCUAAAAGAACAUCACUGACGCAAUUGGAAGAUCCGCCUUGGCAGCAGCUAUUCUUCCUUCGUAGACAAAAGAGAUUGAAUACAAGGAAUCCUCUGUUUAGGCUUAACUACAGGAAUCAAACCUAGAAAAGCGAAGGGCAUAGGUCCACUCUUCCUACAUUGAUAGACCUCUUAUCUAUUGAAUAAGAAAUUCACAUCUAUUUGUAUUUCUUUUGAGGAAGAUGAUAAAGAGACUUAUUACCUGGUCCACUAGUACACCGUAGUUAUUCGAAUUUCUCGCGGUGGUGGUUUCCUCAUAAACCCUCAGCUAUAGAUCCAUGGACGUCUCCAUUCAUUUACCUUCUCCUCCACUCGAGGACAACCAAAUCCUCAUCAGUCCUUUUGAUGCGUUCGAAAGAAAGUAGAGGAAAGAUAAGAGUGACCAUUGAAAGAAGAAAAGAUGUUACCGACACAGAAAGAAGAAAAGAUGUUACCGACACUGGGAGUAUAGCUCCUAUGUUCCGACCAGAGGAAAAAACGAACAUGGCUUUCCUCCAUAUACCUAGGAAAAAACGAACAUGGCUUUCCUCCAUAUACCUAUUAAGAAGGAGAAUGUCUUUUAACGAUAAUUGCCUGCUUUACAGAUUGACGGAUAAGGCGGGAACUCCUUUUCUUCUUGAAAGCAAGUAAGUCCUAGCCUAGUUAGCCUGUCUCGGUCUCAUGGAAAGGGAAAGCUCAAAUAAAUAAGUAUAGAAGCUGGUCUUGAAUAAUUGCUCCGCUAGAAUCAAGAGAACACUUUUGAUAUACGACAACAUGAUUUACUGUAAAACAAUCCAUCCGUUUUCUCCACACAUUGGGCAUUGGUUACAUAACAUAAGGGACCGUUAUCUUGCUGAAGAUUGACUUACCUUUAAAAGCGAAAGUCAGAUGGAAUGAAUGACGCUCCGCUCGCCCCUACUAUUGUGACAUCGACCCUCUCUCUCGCUUAACUAUGUCCCCGCUUCUAUAGUAUUACUUAUCAACUAUAUGUGCCACAGUUAUCCAGACAUUUGUGAUGGUGGUUGUCAUGUCAAUCAGAGGCAGCGCUAACUCCGAUUUCAUAGUUUGCACGAUAUGUAUGCAGACCCUCGUCUACCUUAUUCAACCUAUUCCCCACCAACUAAAGCACAUUACUCACUUACCUCACAAAUCAUGGUGAUUCCGCCUACCCUUUCACUACCUUUGAACUAGUAAGAUUGGCCAAUAACUCCCCUUUCUAUUGUUUUAGCUUAUCAUCCACAGUCUUGUAUAACAGGGCUUUGUCUUCGGUAGUCUAGUGUGUGUAUCUCGCUUCACUCCUCUUGUGAUAGGCAGUAAGAUGAUGGAUGUUAGAAUUGUAUCUCUGCUAAUGGUCUCUCGUAUGAUAAUUGUAUCUCUGCUAAUGGUCUCUCGUAUACAGAAAGAGGUAUGCUGGAUGAAAUGAUGUAUAGUCAAUUCGGGUCCGGAAUUGAUUUAUGUUAGGUAAACAAAUGGAUGGAUAUACUUAAUGUCGCCACGGCACCUUCUUCUUUUCUGUGCGCUAGUUUUCAAUAGGUCGGAAAAGUGGGAAGAAAGCCUUUCAUACAGAAGUGGUGCUGGUCCUAGGACGUGGGGCUCAACUCCGGAAGUAGAACCCCCUCCACAAUCCAUUUCCUAAAGUAUGUAUAAACCUUCUGCACCCAAGGCAUGCCCCAGAGUUCCCCCUCUUUCUUUUUUCAAAGUUCAAUAGUUUAGUUUAGGUUAUGCUUGGUCUUUUGGUAUAUACUCCAAUUCCGCUAUCAUAACUAAGCUCUAAUUCUUUGCUUGCCAAGCAAGGUGGUCAAUAGUUCUUUCUAGUUUGGUAGUGAUAGUUCGCCAAGCUACUACUUUCAAUAGAAAUGGAAGGAGGUGAUUCUGUUGUCUCAGUAUACUUUCCAAUUCUAUAUGUAUGUGCUGCAGCUUAUGUUUCUUAUUCCGUUGUGUUAACACGCUUGCGGAUUCUCUUCUUUGAAGAUUCAUCUACUCUCUAUACUUGGACACAUGCGAUUUGUGCACCGCUCUAUCCCUAUUUCAAAUAACUGAAUGGAGUAUAUGCUUGGUUAGGAGCUUUGAUACUCUUUUCUUUCCUUCCUAACAGACACAGAGACGUAAUUCUUUCAGUCCCGAAAAAGGCCCAGGCGAAAGAAGAGGCCAAGAACAGAACUCCAUGAAGACUCAAACCACUCCCCUGCAUAUAAGUAAUCAAUGAUAUAAGUAAUAAAUGAUAUAAGUAAUAAAUGAGAAAUGAUAUCAGAUCAACGAAGAAAGAGUCCGGAUUAUGUAUUUGAGCGAAGAAAGAGUCCGGAUUAUGUAUUUGAGCCUAAGAACAUAGACCUGUUCGGUAUUCACUCGACACUACUACAUAUCGGCACCAACAUCUACUCACUUCUUGACUGCCCCUUUACCCUUACCCGAUCCCAUGCCCAUGCCUAGCGAUCUAAGCCCGAAAGCAUAGAAUGACUUUUCGAAUUGAUCCAUAUAUUACUCGAUUGCAUGGAAUGACUUUUCUUAUCUAUCUAUAUAUUAACCGAUAGCAAGACAAGCCCUGGAUCCCAAUCCAAUUCCUCUCUCCUGGCAGCAAAGAAAGAAGGGGAGAUCCCCGCUAUCUAUCUACUGGUCACUUAUCCACUGGUCACUUUACUGGCUCAUAACUCGAGCAGUUGCUUGGCCAGACUUAUGCUUAUCCGCCAGGUGGUAACGGGACUACCCUCCUUAUCCUUUGCGGGGUCUACUUCCUUUGUUAUCCCUACCUAUACAUCUUUCCUUUCCCGCGUCGGGGAUGCCGGAAGCAAACACUUUGGAUCUUGUUUAUUUCAUAUUAAUAGUUCGCUCAGUAAAUCCUUCGUUGAAGCAACGGCUUACUCGCAAGAGGAGGCAUAGACUGUGGUGGCUUAUCGAGCAGCUCCACCAGUGCCAUCUAUUACACAGCAGCGGUGAAGCUAGCAGCAGAUACUUUAUGCAUUCCGGGAGAAAGAAAGCAAGUGGUCCCAAGAGCGGAUUUGAGUGCUGGAACUAGUUGUGCUCCUACUCAUACUGGGCCAAAGGACGGGGAUUCAAAUGACAAGAAUAGUGCCCAGCUACAUCAACGGUUCGAAAUCAGUUACUUGUAACAAAUCCAGACAAAGAAGUUGAUCCUUUAGAUUCUAUUGAUCCCCCGGUGAUCCAGUCCCUAUUUAGCAGAGUAGACCGAGGUCGGAAUGGGAUCGGGUCUUUUCACGUCUCACCGUAGUGCCCGUCUUUAUGAACAUAUUGGAUGACUCUGGCUACGUGUCCUUCCUUCCUGCCCUCAGAGCUGAUUCGACGGGAUGCCUAAGAGCAACGAAUUCUUCUUUCCUGAAAGAGCCUAUUCGAGAACAGUAAGAGCAGAUUCGAGGGCAUCAAUUCAUGGUUUCCUCUUCUUUGACUAUUAUACCUACCCAUGGGAACUGUGAACAACCGAUUCUUACACCUCAUCUGCACCUCAAAACAGGGCAUUAUCGAGCAGCUCCUUCUGUAACAGCAGCAGUUGAUUCAAUAGCAACGGAGUCAGUAACGGCGGAUUCUAGCACAACAACCUAUUCUAUAACAAGAAGAGCGGAUACGUCGUUCUUUCAAAGAGCGCUUAUUCCCCUUCAUGUAAAGCCUAUUCUCCUAACAUAAAGCAAAAAGGGAUUCAGGCUCAAGGCACUUUUGGACUCUAUUCCUUCUAAGGAGAGUGAAGAAUCAAUCCAUUGCUUUAAAUACGAAUAGUGGGCGUAUAUUUUCCAGUUACAGAAAGACGUAUAGUUUUAGGGGAAAGGAUAACCAUAGAACCGUUUUGAAAAUGGAUCAGUUGACCCGGUAUACGAAUUCAUUCUAACUAUCAACAAAUUGUGGCUCAAUGGGGAUUGUCAUUCUUUCUACUUUUUCCUUAAUUAAGUCCUAAGUUCUUCAGUAGCUCAGUGGUAGAGCGGUCGGCUGUUAACUGACUGGUCGUAGGUUCGAAUCCUACUUGGGGAGAUUGGAUUCAUGAUUUCUAGGUUAAUGAAGAAUAGAGUGAAAAGGAAGGAAGGGCUCGGACCGUUAGGAGUAUCCGUUCGCUGUCCUUGUUUCUAUUGCAUUCUAUAUCUCAUCUACUCACAUUCUGUUCAACGAUAUAUAAGAAUCGCAAUACCUCGGCUCCGAUCCCUUGUAAAUAUCCAAUUCAUCAUUCUUAGAUGAUGUACUAGCAGUGUCUCCUUUUGAUCAUCGAUUUUCCCGAUAGGCCACAAGCGAGCAAACAUAUUAAUGACGAGGAACGAUUGCAAUACAACUAAUACUAUACUUGUGCUCUGUUAUUCUGUCCAAAAGCCUUUGUGCUUGCUAUGCCACUAAUACUUGAGACUUGUGCUUGCUAUGCCACUAAUACUUCACUUGCGAGGAAGGCUUGCUAUGCCACUAAUACAAAUACUUGCUCUGCAAUUCUUCCCUGGCUGAGGAAGAGUUCUGGGGAGUAACAAAUAUGCUGAUUACGGUAUUGGUUACAAGAGUUCUGGGGAGUAACAAAUAUGCUGAUUACGGUAUUGGUUACAAUAUGUAAUGAUCGAAUCUUUCAUGAGAAAUCCAAAUCAGUAGUAAGGCCAUUCCAUUUCGACAAAGAAAGACCAUUGCAAACCAAGUUCAAUAGCUUUGCGUCCGCUAUCCAUUUUCCUACCCACACCCCUGAGGGAAAGGUCCAAACCAAAAGGUCAGAUUGUAGGCGAGGAGGGAUUCGCCAACACCGUAGCCACGUGCUCUAAUCCUCUGAGCAACAGGCCCCACCCCGUCUCCACAGGAGAAGUUCCCGGGAGUACCAUAAUAAAGGAACCUUUCCUAUCCUCUGCCAUUUCGGGUUAAGAAGAUGUAAAAGGCGCCUUUCUCUCCAUUUCUAUCUAUCUAUAAAGAAAGACAUAAAUCUCACAGUGCGUUCCGAGGUGUGAAGUGAUAGAGAAGAUAAGUCAUAAUUCUCGUUUUUCAUAAGACAGACGACCUUGGCAUUUUGGAUUUCUAUCUAUUUCACAUAUUUCCAAUUAUAGAAUAAAUCAAAUAAGGAAAGGUGUUUUGUUACUAUAUUUCUCAGAUGUUGAAUAGAUAUGAUUUCAUUGAUUUUAGUUUAGAGUGUUUUUCAUUAAUUAUAGAAUAAUGCCUGGGUCCCUUACCUUAGAAUCGAAAACACAAGAUUCAUCCCAGUAUGCACGGAGCCAGAAAGGCAACCCCCCUUGAAACCAUGGGAAGCUAUCAUGGAAGAAUUGAACCUCGUUGAAAUAGUUUCUCUUUCUAUUUCCUUACCGUAGGUUAGUAAAGGAAGGCUUACCAUUGUGCAUUAAUCCCUCUUUCCUUUCAAUUCAAAGAAGAUGUUUUCCCAUAGAAACCGUCAUCUCUCUGUGUCCAUCGCUCUUUGUUUGGUUGGUGGAAUGCUCUCACCGAAGGCUUGGGAUAUUUUUGGAAAGCUUUCAUAGCGGGUUAGUGUAUUAGUUGCUACUAAAAUGGAACUAGCUAGCAGCUUAAGUUAGGAAGGAAGUGGCUAGAGCAUCUACCCCGGGUUCAUGAACUUACAGACUUGCUUGGUCAGCUACAUCUUUAUGGUUCUAACAAGCGACGCUUCCCUCUCUUACCACACAAAGCGAUUCGUGCACAUAGUCUCAAUCUAGUAUGUCGAAUACCUAUGACUUCGAAUACAGCCAACAGUAAUGAAGUUAGUAAAGUAGUAGGAAGCUAAAGACAGUUUAAGGCAUUGAGCUAACCAACGACUAAUGACCAAGCCAGGCAAGCAACUACGACUGAACCUUGGAACUACCCUUUCUCAUGGAUACUUUCCUGGAACUGAACCGAACCUUUCUACUAUUCCUGGAGUGGAGACAACACCUCCGAUUCUCCCUCUCUGGUCUACUUUACUCACACAACGGAUUCAGUUGCGAGAAUACACAUUGCAUCCAAGUUCUUAUAAUUACCCGUAUC
rnacentral:lncRNA from 1 species